UGGGGGAUAACGUGGGGAAACUCACGCUAAUACCGCAUAAUCUCUACGGAGCAAAGCGGGGGCUCUUCGGACCUCGUGCUUAAAGAUGAGCCUAUGUCAGAUUAGCUUGUUGGUGGGGUAAUGGCCUACCAAGGCGACGAUCUGUAGCUGGUUUGAGAGAACGAUCGGCCACACUGGGACUGAGACACGGCCCAGACUCCUACGGGAGGCAGCAGUGGGGAAUAUUGGACAAUGGGCGCAAGCCUGAUCCAGCAAUGCCGCGUGUGUGAAGAAGGCCUGCGGGUUGUAAAGCACUUUCAGUUGGGAGGAAAGGUUUAAGUUUAAUACGCUUGAACUGUGACGUUACCAACAGAAGAAGCACCGGCUAACUCUGUGCCAGCAGCCGCGGUAAUACAGAGGGUGCAAGCGUUAAUCGGAAUUACUGGGCGUAAAGCGCGCGUAGGCGGUUUGUUAAGUCGGAUGUGAAAUCCCUGGGCUCAACCUGGGAACUGCAUUCGAAACUGACUGACUAGAGUAUGGUAGAGGGUGGUGGAAUUCCUAGUGUAGCGGUGAAAUGCGUAGAUAUUAGGAGGAACAUCAGUGGCGAAGGCGACCCACCUGGACCAAUACUGACGCUGAGGUGCGAAAGCGUGGGGAGUCAAACAGGAUUAGAUACCCUGGUAGUCCACGCCGUAAACGAUGUCAACUAGAUGUUGGGAGGGUCUACCUCUUAGUGUCGCAGCUAACGCGUUUAGUUGACCGCCUGGG
rnacentral:rRNA from 1 species